GAUGAACGCUGGCGGCGUGCCUAAUACAUGCAAGUCGAGCGGCAGCACGGUCUUCGGACUGGUGGCGAGCGGCGGACGGCUGAGUAACGCGUAGGAAUAUACCCAAAGUGAGGGAUAACUGCCCGAAAGGGUGGCUAAUACCGCAUGUGGUCUUCGGACUAAAGCCUUCGGGCGCUUUGGGAAUAGCCUGCGUAAGAUUAGCUAGUUGGUGAGGUAAUGGCUCACCAAGGCGACGAUCUUUAGCUGGUCUGAGAGGAUGACCAGCCAGACUGGAACUGAGACACGGUCCAGACUCCUACGGGAGGCAGCAGUAGGGAAUUUUCCACAAUGGGCGAAAGCCUGAUGGAGCAACGCCGCGUGCAGGAUGAAGGCCCUCGGGUCGUAAACUGCUUUUAUGUGCGAAGAAUAUGACGGUAACACAUGAAUAAGGGUCGGCUAACUACGUGCCAGCAGCCGCGGUAAU
rnacentral:rRNA from 1 species